rnacentral:rRNA from 1 species
AAAUUGAAGAGUUUGAUCAUGGCUCAGAUUGAACGCUGGCGGCAGGCCUAACACAUGCAAGUCGAACGGUAACAGGAAGCAGCUUGCUGUUUCGCUGACGAGUGGCGGACGGGUGAGUAAUGUCUGGGAAACUGCCUGAUGGAGGGGGAUAACUACUGGAAACGGUAGCUAAUACCGCAUAACGUCGCAAGACCAAAGAGGGGGACCUUCGGGCCUCUUGCCAUCGGAUGUGCC